UCCGUAGGCGGUGUGGUAAGUCGGGAGUGAAAUCUUUGGGCUUAACCCAGAGGCUGCUUCCGAAACUGCCGUGCUAGAGUGUGAGAGAGGCGAGUGGAAUUACGGGUGUAGCGGUGAAAUGCGUAGAUAUCCGUAGGAACAUCCGAGGCGAAGGCGGCUCGCUGGAUCACAACUGACGCUGAGGGACGAAAGUGGGAGGCGAACA
rnacentral:rRNA from 1 species